GGCAACACGAUCAUUGUGGAGAAUCUGCUGGCCUGUGGUGUCAAGAUCAAUUCCUGGGACAGGGAAGGGGACAUGCCCAUGCAUGAUGCAGUGCGGCUCAACAGAUACAAAAUAGCAAAGCUGCUCAUAGCUGCAGGAGCUGACACAAAAAU